CGAGUCAUUGUAGUAAUACAAGGCAGACGGCUCAGUAACGCGUACUUUCAUAACCUAUGGACGGGAAUAACCUCGGGAAAUUGACCAUAAUGCCCGAUAGAACAUUAUGCCUGGAAUGGUUUAUGUUCCAAAUGAUUUAUCGCCGUAGGAUGGGACUGCGCCCUAUCAGUUUGUUGGUGAGGUAAUGGCCCACCAAGACUAUUACAGGUACGGGCUCUGAGAGGAGUAGCCCGGAGAUGGGUACUGAGACACGGACCCAGGCCCUAUGGGGCGCAGCAGGCGAGAAAACUUUGCAAUGUGCGAAAGCACGACAAGGUUAAUCCGAGUGGUUUCUGCUAAAGGAACCUUUUGUCGGUCCUAGAAACACCGAUGAAUAAGGGGUGGGCAAGUUCUGGUGUCAGCCGCCGCGGUAAAACCAGCACCUCAAGUGGUCUGGAUGAUUAUUGGGCCUAAAGCAUCCGUAGCCGGCUCUGUUAGUUUUCGGUUAAAUCUGUACGCUCAACGUACAGGCUGCCGGGAAUACUGCAGAGCUAGGGAGUGGGAGAGGUAGACGGUACUCGGUAGGAAGGGGUAAAAUCCUUUGAUCUAUUGAUGACCACCUGUGGCGAAGGCGGUCUACCAGAACACGUCCGACGGUGAGGGAUGAAAGCUGGGGGAGCAAACCGGAUUAGAUACCCGGGUAGUCCCAGCUGUAAACUAUGCAAACUCAGUGAUGCAUUGGCUUGUGGCCAAUGCAGUGCUGCAGGGAAGCCG
rnacentral:rRNA from 1 species